rnacentral:rRNA from 1 species
CCCGUAGAUGUUCUGGGCUGCACGCGCGCUACACUGGUGCGUUCAGCGAGUUUAGCACCUUAACAGAUAUGUUUGGGUAAUCUUCUGAAAACGCACCGUGAUGGGGAUCGAUUAUUGUAAUUAUUAAUCGUCAACGAGGAAUUCCUAGUAAGUGUGAAUCAUCAGUUCGCGCUGAUUACGUCCCUGCCCUUUGUACACACCGCCCGUCGCUGCUACCGAUUGAGUGGUCCGGUGAAUUAUUCGGACCGGUGGACUGUGGGGAAACCCGCGGCCUGCUGGGAAGUCUUGUGAACCUUAUCACUUAGAGGAAGCAGAAGUCGUAACA